rnacentral:siRNA from 1 species
AGAAGAUGUAUUUAACCUGGUGU